AAAGGCCCUGGUCCAGGAUGUGCAAGGUGUGAUGAAAUCACAGGGCUGGGGAAGGUCAGCUCGGGGUCACAAGAAGCCUGAUGGGUAGGAAAGAGUAUGAAAGCCCCAGCCAGCCUCACCUGUGUGGCUGGGAGGACUCACAGAAACCCUCUGUACCCAGUCAUGGGCCAAAGACACCGUCAUGCAAGGGGGUGAAGGCUCCACACCUGUCCCUGUCCCGGGCGUGGAAGCAGGACCGUGAGCAGUCUCUGGCAGCAGCCUAUGUGCCGGUCGUGGUGGACUCUAAGGGGCAGAAUCCGGACAAGCUCAGGUUCAAUUUCUACACCUCCCAGUACUCCAACUCCCUGAACCCCUUCUACACUUUGCAGAAGCCUACCUGUGGCUACCUGUACCGCCGGGACACUGACCACACCCGCAAGCGCUUUGAUGUGCCUCCUGCCAACUCGGUCUUGUGGCGCUCCUAGGCCUGAGCCAAAUAGAAGCCCCCCGACCCUUCACCCUCACCCCUGUGACCUCAGAUCCCCAAGGGGAAAGGCUGCUCACUGCAGGAGGAGCGACCUGUAUUCGGGAUAAGACAGCUGUGCCAUGCCCACCUAUCGACAAUGAUAAAGGGAGGCAUGAUGGCGGGUGCCUAUAAUCCCAGCUACUCGGGAGGCUGAGGAAUGAGAAUCGCUUGAAGCCGGGAGGCAGAGGUUAUGGUGAACCGGAGUCACGCCAUUGCACUAUAGCCUGGAGACAGAGUGAGACUCCAUCAAAAAAAAAAAAAAAAUUAAUUAAAAAAAAAGAAGAGAUUCAUCAA